rnacentral:misc_RNA from 1 species
GCCAACUUUGUCCUAGUUUUCGUUUUUUAUUAUAUUGUUUCAGCAUAUAAGUUUGAGAUCAUUAAUUCACACAUUUUUGCAAUUGCUCCCUGUUGAUUAGAUAAGAUAACUGAUAAUAUUAACCAUGGGAAUGGAAACACCUGUAUACACUAGAUCUGGUUAUGGUUGAUUUAAAGAAGUCGGUUCCCGAAAAAGACAUUGAGGCUUUCUCCCUAUGGGGAGAUGGUGUCCGAAUGUUGAUGAGUAUACCAGAAAGUAGAAAGAAUCUACGUCAAAACAUGGU